GUAAAGAGCGGCGGACGGGUGAGUAACGCGUGGGUAACCUACCCUGUACACACGGAUAACAUACCGAAAGGUAUGCUAAUACGGGAUAACAUAUUUGAGAGGCAUCUCUUGAAUAUCAAAGGUGAGCAAGUACAGGAUGGACCCGCGUCUGAUUAGCUAGUUGGUAAGGUAACGGCUUACCAAGGCGACGAUCAGUAGCCGACCUGAGAGGGUGAUCGGCCACAUUGGAACUGAGACA
rnacentral:rRNA from 1 species